UUCAAAGAAUUUUCCAAAUUU
rnacentral:piRNA from 1 species